rnacentral:rRNA from 1 species
UACGAAGGGGGCUAGCGUUGCUCGGAAUCACUGGGCGUAAAGCGCACGUAGGCGGAUUGUUAAGUCAGGGGUGAAAUCCUGGAGCUCAACUCCAGAACUGCCUUUGAUACUGGCGAUCUCGAGUUCGGGAGAGGUGAGUGGAACUGCGAGUGUAGAGGUGAAAUGCGUAGAUAUCUGCAGGAACACCCGUGGCGAAAGCGGCGCGCUGGGCCACUACUGACGCUGAGGAACGAAAGCUAGGGGAGCAAACAGG